GACUCAGCGAUGCUCUGGGUAGGAGCAGACACUGGCCAGAGAAAAGGAGAAGAAGGGAGAGCCGGUGUGGAGGGAGGAGAGGAGGAAGCCUGUUGCUUUAGACACUAAAAAAGGACCAAGUGGUUGAAGGGAAAGAGAACGUCUCAGGAGAGAAGGUCAGUGGAGGAACCCCUCUCCCUCCCAGGAAGGAACUGUGUAUAAGGUUGUCAUUAGGGUAACCAUACUUGGCUGAGUGAGAUGGGGAACCAUUAGAUUUUUUGAAAAAUUAUUACGAACAAUCUUAUUUUAACAAAUAAGAAAAUUUAGGUGACAGUUAAAUGAUUUUUCAGAGCUGGGGCUGUAGCUCAGUGGUUGAGCACUUGCCUAGCACAUGCAAGGCCCUGGGAGGUGACUCCAGUACCGUAAAAAAUAAAUGAAAAUAAAUUUUAAGAAGAAAGAUUUUUUUUUUUUAAGAAAGAGAGAGAGAGAGAGAGAAUUUUAAUAUUUAUUUUUUUAGUUUCGGCGGACACAACAUCUUUGUUUGUAUGUGGUGCUGAGGAUCGAACCCAGGCCGCAUGCACACCAGGCAAGCGCACUACCGCUUGAGCCACAUCCCCAGCCCCUGAAGAAAGAUUUUUGAGAAGAGGUAUAACACACACCAGUCUGUGGCUUUGAGAAGAUACCUGGGGUGUUAACAAUGUUGUGACUUCCUGAGGCACUGACUCAGGUGUCAGGACAGUGACUGGUUUCUGGCUGUGGAGGUGAAUGGGUAGGGAACCAUACAUUGAGACAGCUGUCCCUAGGGGUGCAACUCAUGGCAGUGGCAGGAUGGUGGUCACUAAUGGUUUGGGACAGGUUUAGUCUGAAGGCUUUGGAAAUGCCCAGGGUAGCUGAGUGGGCAGUGGGGUGUAUAGGAACUGAGGACAGCGUGAGCCCUGGUGGACCGAUGGUGAUUGCAAAGUGGUCAUGGAAGAGGAUCGAGAGAGAGAGAAGAGAGUUCUGGGAUGAGCCUUGAGGACCCUUGAUAUUGUGGGCUGAGGAGAGGAGAAUCAACCUGCACUGAAAACCAAGAGACAGCAGCCAGUGAGGCAGGACAGCAGGGCCGUGGAAGCCUAGAAGGCCAGUGAUUGGAAUUUUCUAGAAAGAGGAAGAGGCGGACACUGCAGACUGCUGCCGAGAGGUCAAGAGGAGGGACAAGAGCCUGCUGGUUUCGAUGAGAUGGAGGCCACUGGGAUUUCGGCAAGAGCUAUUUUGGUGGCAGGUGGGGGAGGAAGCAGAUGGAAGUGGUUGAGGAGUAAGUGGGAAGUGAGAAAAGGAAGACCACGUGUGCAGACAGCUCUUGAGGGAAGUUUGGCUAUGAAGAGGAAAGAGGGAUGGGGCUAAGCCUCUGGGGUCAAGGGAAGAUUUGGCUCUUUUGUGUACGUGUGUGUGUGUGUGUGUGUGUGUGUGUGUUGGGGCUUGAAUCCAGGCCCUUGGGCAUGAUAAGCAUGUGCUGUACCACCAAGUUACUCCCCAGCCCAGAUUUGGUCUUUGAAUGCUCAUGGGGAGAGUGGUUGGCUCUGCAAGAGAAAUCAGAGAUGAUUCUUCAAGGGUGACUGGGAAGGGCCAAAGCCUGCGCACCCUUCUACAUAACAAGAGGCCAAGAUGUUCGUGGUUGGGAGCUGUGGGCGCUCAGGAGAGGGGCUUGCUUGCCUCUGUUUCUUGCUCACACUGUUUCCUGGGUUGAAAUUCUUCCUUUGUGUACUCCUACUCAUCCUUCAGAACCCAGAUGGAUAAUUACCUUCUUGAAAAAGACAUCCUUCCUCUAGGGACCCUUGCUCUAAGGUUCCCAGGACCACAGUCAGAUCUCUAAUGCUGCUUCUCAGAUUAUCCUGUACUGUCCAUCUCCCUAUUAGACUGCAUCCAUCACCCCCGAGUCCCCAGGACCUGCCUGAGCCUUGCUCUGCGGUGGGCAUUCAGGAGCUGUUGGGUGAAUAGAUGAAUGAACUAUUUCAGACUAAUGGAGGAGUAUAGAGGAGAACAAGCUGGGAAUAAUUUCUGAGGAAUGUGGGAAGAGAGGAGAAUCCCAGGAAAAGGGGAAAGGGGUCCUAAGCUACUGCCAAGACACUGUAUCAAGGGCCUCUGUGGACCAGGGGCUUCCAUAUCCCCAGAAGGAUACUCCUGGUCCUCUUGUGUAUGACCUGGAUCCCCAAUUUUACCAGAAUGUGAGCUCUCUGAGGUGAGGUUAUCUGUCUUGCUCACUUCUGUGCUUCCAAUUCUAAAAUAGCACUGGCAUGAAGGGUUGCCAGACAAAAGGCAAUUGAGUUUGAAUUACAAGCCAGUUGAGUUUGAAUUACAGAAAACAAUAAACAAG
rnacentral:lncRNA from 1 species